GACGAACGCUGGCGGCGUGCCUAAUACAUGCAAGUCGAACGAGAGCGCCCGGUGCUUGCACUGGUCAAUCUAGUGGCGAACGGGUGAGUAACACGUGGGUAACCUGCCCAUCAGAGGGGGAUAACAUUCGGAAACGGAUGCUAAAACCGCAUAGGUCUUCGAACCGCAUGGUUUGAAGAGGAAAAGAGGCGCAAGCUUCUGCUGAUGGAUGGACCCGCGGUGCAUUAGCUAGUUGGUGAGGUAACGGCUCACCAAGGCCGUAAUGCAUAGCCGACCUGAGAGGGUGAUCGGCCACAUUGGGACUGAGACACGGCCCAAACUCCUACGGGAGGCAGCAGUAGGGAAUCUUCCGCAAUGGGCGCAAGUCUGACGGAGCAACGCCGCGUGAGUGAAGAAGGUUUUCGGAUCGUAAAACUCUGUUGUUAGAGAAGAACAAGUGCUAGAGUAACUGUUAGCGCCUUGACGGUAUCUAACCAGAAAGCCACGGCUAACUACGUG
rnacentral:rRNA from 1 species